UCUCUCUCUGGAGAUCACUCCACUUGGAGCCCUUUCGGUGAGCCUGGGACACAGACGAGAUCCAUUCAACUGGGUUUCAGAGAGAGAAAUCAGAAAGAUGCCAGAUUAGAGGAAGACAGCAUCGGGCAAUCCAACUGUCAAGCUUCUGACUGGAUUUUUAUCAAGAUUCUUUACUGUUGGAUUUGAUAGGAUCCUGUGGAUAGCUAAAAGCAGGAAGCGAAUCAAGAAUGACGAUUAAUAUGAGGGAAGACAGCAGUUGACGGUUUGCUGAGCUGUACAGUUCCUAGCCACCAAGGUACUUACAGACUAAUCUUUAAACAUGUAAGUACACAGCGUGCUUAAACUUAAUGACAUGGUUAAAUACUUACUGAACUGUGAAUUUCAAAUUUAUCAUAUUUUUUUUUCAUUUAGUUAUUUUUUUGAAGACUG
ensembl:lncRNA